rnacentral:rRNA from 1 species
GUGUCAGCCGCCGCGGUAAUACGUAGGGGGCAAGCGUUGUCCGGAUUUAUUGGGCGUAAAGAGCGUGUAGGCGGCUCUGCAGGUCCGCUGUGAAAACUCGAGGCUCAACCUCGAGAUGUCGGUGGAAACCGCAUUGCUAGAGUCCGGAAGAGGAGAGCGGAAUUCCUGGUGUAGCGGUGAAAUGCGCAGAUAUCAGGAAGAACACCCGUGGCGAAGGCGGCUCUCUGGGACGGUACUGACGCUGAGACGCGAAAGCGUGGGGAGCGAACAGGAUUAGAUACCCGCGUAGUCC